UACGAAGGGGGGCUAGCGUUGCUCGGAAUGACUGGGCGUAAAGGGCGCGUAGGCGGUUUGUACAGUCAGGUGUGAAAUUCCCGGGCUCAACCCGGGAACUGCGUCCGAUACUGGCAGGCUUGAAUCCGGGAGAGGGAUGCGGAAUUCCAGGUGUAGCGGUGAAAUGCGUAGAUAUCUGGAGGAACACCGGUGGCGAAGGCGGCAUCCUGGACCGGCAUUGACGCUGAGGCGCGAAAGCCAGGGGAGCAAACGGG
rnacentral:rRNA from 1 species